GAUCAUGGCUCAGGACGAACGCUGGCGGCAUGCCUAACACAUGCAAGUCGAACGGACGGAAGUAGCAAUACUGAAGUUAGUGGCGAACGGGUGAGUAACACGUGAGCAACCUGCCCUAUACACUGGGAUAGCAGUUGGAAACGACUGAUAAUACCGGAUAAGACCACGCUGUCGCAUGGCAGAGGGGUCAAAGCGAUUUAGCGGUAUAGGGUGGGCUCGCGUCCAAUUAGCUAGUUGGUGAGGUAACGGCCCACCAAGGCGACGAUUGGUAGCCGACUUGAGAGAGUGAUCGGCCACACUGGAACUGAGACACGGUCCAGACUCCUACGGGAGGCAGCAGUGGGGAAUAUUGGGCAAUGGAGGAAACUCUUACCCAGCCAAUGCCGCGUGAGGGAUGGAGGUCCUAUGGAUUGUAAACCUCUUUGAUUAGGGACAAAGAAAGUGAUGGUACCUAAAGAACAAGCCCCGGCUAACUAUGUGCCAGCCGCUGC
rnacentral:rRNA from 1 species